UACGUAGGGGGCAAGCGUUGUCCGGAUUUAUUGGGCGUAAAGAGCGUGUAGGCGGCCUGACAGGUCUGCUGUGAAAACUCGAGGCUCAACCUCGAGAUGUCGGCGGAAACCGUCUGGCUAGAGUCCGGAAGAGGAGAGUGGAAUUCCUGGUGUAGCGGUGAAAUGCGCAGAUAUCAGGAAGAACACCUAUGGCGAAGGCAGCUCUCUGGGACUGUACUGACGCUGAGACGCGAAAGCGUGGGGAGCGAACAGG
rnacentral:rRNA from 1 species